UGCUGGAGGUAUCAGAAGUGCGAAUGCUGACAUAAGUAACGAUAAAGCGGGUGAAAAGCCCGCUCGCCGGAAGACCAAGGGUUCCUGUCCAACGUUAAUCGGGGCAGGGUGAGUCGACCCCUAAGGCGAGGCCGAAAGGCGUAGUCGAUGGGAAACAGGUUAAUAUUCCUGUACUUGGUGUUACUGCGAAGGGGGGACGGAGAAGGCUAUGUCAGCCGGGCGACGGUUGUCCCGGUUUAAGCAUGUAGGCGGAGGUUCCAGGUAAAUCCGGUACCUUAUUAACGCUGAGGUGUGAUGACGAGGCACUACGGUGCUGAAGUGAUAAAUGCCCUGCUUCCAGGAAAAGCCUCUAAGCAUCAGGUAACACGAAAUCGUACCCCAAACCGACACAGGUGGUCAGGUAGAGAAUACCAAGGCGCUUGAGAGAACUCGGGUGAAGGAACUAGGCAAAAUGGUGCCGUAACUUCGGGAGAAGGCACGCUGAUAUGUAGGUGAAGUCCCUGCGGACGGAGCUGAAAUCAGUCGAAGAUACCAGCUGGCUGCAACUGUUUAUUAAAAACACAGCACUGUGCAAACACGAAAGUGGACGUAUACGGUGUGACGCCUGCCCGGUGCCGGAAGGUUAAUUGAUGGGGUUAGCGGCAACGCGAAGCUCUUGAUCGAAGCCCCGGUAAACGGCGGCCGUAACUAUAACGGUCCUAAGGUAGCGAAAUUCCUUGUCGGGUAAGUUCCGACCUGCACGAAUGGCGUAAUGAUGGCCAGGCUGUCUCCACCCGAGACUCAGUGAAAUUGAACUCGCUGUGAAGAUGCAGUGUACCCGCGGCAAGACGGAAAGACCCCGUGAACCUUUACUAUAGCUUGACACUGAACACUGGUCCUUGAUGUGUAGGAUAGGUGGGAGGCUUUGAAGCGUGGACGCCAGUCUGCGUGGAGCCAACCUUGAAAUACCACCCUUUAAUGGCUGGUGUUCUAACGUAGACCCGUAAUCCGGGUUGCGGACAGUGUCUGGUGGGUAGUUUGACUGGGGCGGUCUCCUCCCAAAGAGUAACGGAGGAGCACGAAGGUUGGCUAAUCCUGGUCGGACAUCAGGAGGUUAGUGCAAUGGCAUAAGCCAGCUUGACUGCGAGCGUGACGGCGCGAGCAGGUGCGAAAGCAGGUCAUAGUGAUCCGGUGGUUCUGAAUGGAAGGGCCAUCGCUCAACGGAUAAAAGGUACUCCGGGGAUAACAGGCUGAUACCGCCCAAGAGUUCAUAUCGACGGCGGUGUUUGGCACCUCGAUGUCGGCUCAUCACAUCCUGGGGCUGAAGUAGGUCCCAAGGGUAUGGCUGUUCGCCAUUUAAAGUGGUACGCGAGCUGGGUUUAGAACGUCGUGAGACAGUUCGGUCCCUAUCUGCCGUGGGCGCUGGAGAAUUGAGGGGGGCUGCUCCUAGUACGAGAGGACCGGAGUGGACGCAUCACUGGUGUUCGGGUUGUCAUGCCAAUGGCACUGCCCGGUAGCUAAAUGCGGAAGAGAUAAGUGCUGAAAGCAUCUAAGCACGAAACUUGCCCCGAGAUGAGUUCUCCCUGAGACUUUAAGUCUCCUGAAGGAACGUUGAAGACGACGACGUUGAUAGGUCGGGUGUGUAAGCGCAGCGAUGCGUUGAGCUAACCGAUACUAAUGAACCGUGAGGCUUAACCUU
rnacentral:rRNA from 3 species